rnacentral:rRNA from 1 species
UACGGGGGGGGGCAAGCGUUGUUCGGAAUUACUGGGCGUAAAGGGCUCGUAGGCGGCCAACUAAGUCAGACGUGAAAUCCCUCGGCUUAACCGGGGAACUGCAUCUGAUACUGGAUGGCUUGAGUUCGGGAGAGGGAUGCGGAAUUCCAGGUGUAGCGGUGAAAUGCGUAGAUAUCUGGAGGAACACCGACGGCGAAGGCAGCACUCUGGGCCGGUACUGACGCUGAGGAGCGAAAGCAUGGGGAGCGAACAGG